UACGAGUGCCCCAAGCGUUAUCCGGAAUUACUGGGCGUAAAGGGCUCGUAGGCGGCCAACUAAGUCAGACGUGAAAUCCCUCAGCUUAACUGGGGAACUGCGUCUGAUACUGGAUGGCUUGGAUUUGGGAGAGGAAUGCGGAAUUCCAGGUGUAGCGGUGAAAUGCGUAGAUAUCUGGAGGAACACCGGUGGCGAAGGCGGCAUCCUGGACCAACACUGACACUGAGGAGCGAAAGCCAGGGGAGCAAACGGG
rnacentral:rRNA from 1 species